CCUACGGGAGGCAGCAGUGAGGAAUAUUGGUCAAUGGGCGAGAGCCUGAACCAGCCAAGUCGCGUGAGGGAGUACUGCCCUAUGGGUUGUAAACCUCUUUUGUCGGGGAGCAAAAGCCGGACGUGUCCGGCUGUGAGAGUACCCGAAGAAAAAGCAUAGGCUAACUCCGUGCCAGCAGCCGCGGUAAUCCGGAGGAUGCGAGCUUUAUCCGGAUUUAUUGGGGUUAAAGGGGGCGCAGGCGGAUUUUUAAGUCAGCGGUCAAAUCGUGGGGCUAAACCCCAUCCAGCCGUUGAAACUGGGGAUCUAGAGUGUGCGAGAGGUAUGCGGAAUGCGUGGUGUAGCGGUGAAAUGCAUAGAUAUCACGCAGAACCCCGAUUGCGAAGGCAGCAUACCGGUGCACAACUGACGCUCAGGCACGAAAGCGUGGGUAUCGAACAGGAUUAGAUACCCCAGUAGUC
rnacentral:rRNA from 1 species